rnacentral:rRNA from 1 species
UACGUAGGGGGCAAGCGUUGUCCGGAAUUAUUGGGCGUAAAGAGCGCGCAGGCGGUUUUGUAAGUCCACCGUGAAAGCUUACGGCUCAACCGUAACGGGUCGGUGGAUACUGCAAGACUUGAGGGCAGGAGAGGAAAGUGGAAUUCCCAGUGUAGCGGUGAAAUGCGUAGAUAUUGGGAGGAACACCAGUGGCGAAGGCGACUUUCUGGACUGUUACUAACGCUGAGGCGCGAAAGCUGGGGAAGUGAACGGG